rnacentral:misc_RNA from 1 species
GAAACGCGAUAGUUAAUGUGAAUUGCAGAAUUCAGUGAAUCAUCGAGUCUUUGAACGCACAUUGCGCCUUUUGGUAUUCCGAGAGGCACGUCUGUUCGAGCGUCAGUAAAACCCUUCCGGACCGACGGUUUUUUGCGAAACCUGCCUGGCCUCGGGACCCUGGCGUGGGGAAGUGACCAUCGCUGUGCUCUAGUGACCGGCGAGCCUGGGUCGUCCCCCGCUUAAACGCGGAGAAAGCUAGCGGGCACGCCCCACAUUGCGACAACUCGUAAAUUUUUUUGCUGUUGUUAAGUCAUAGUGAACGUUGCCCCGCCUAUUUCAAACACAACUUUACCUGACCCUUGACCUCGGAUCAGACGAGGAUACCCGCUGAACUUAA